AUUGAACGCUGGCGGCAGGCCUAACACAUGCAAGUCGAGCGAGCGGCGGACGGGUGAGUAAUGUAUGGGAAUCUGGCCUAUGGAGGGGGAUAACUACUGGAAACUGUGGCUAAUACCGCAUACUAUCGGAUGAACCCAAGUGGGAUUAGGUAGUUGGUGGGGUAAAGGCUCACCAAGCCGACGAUCUCUAGCUGGUCUGAGAGGAUGACCAGCCACACUGGGACUGAGACACGGCCCAGACUCCUACGGGAGGCAGCAGUGGGGAAUAUUGCGCAAUGGGCGCAAGCCUGAUGCAGCCAUGCCGCGUGUAUGAAGAAGGCCUUAGGGUUGUAAAGUACUUUCAGCGGCGAGGCGUUACCCGCAGAAGAAGCACCGGCUAACUCCGUGCCAGCAGCCGCGGUAAUAC
rnacentral:rRNA from 1 species